GAAUCCCUAGUAAUCGCGCGUCACUAGCGCGCGGUGAAUACGUCCCUGCUCCUUGCACACACCGCCCGUCGUUCCACCCGAGCGACUCUUGGGUGAGGCGUGGUCUUGUUGGCUGCGUCGAAUCCAGGUUUCGUGAGGGGGGAAAAGUCGUAACAAGGUGGCCGUAGGGGAACCUGCGGCCGGAUCACCUCCUAAGAAA
rnacentral:rRNA from 1 species